rnacentral:rRNA from 1 species
CCUUGAUGGCGACCGGCGCACGGGUGAGUAACGCGUAUGCAACCUGCCCGAUACCGGGGUAUAGCCCAUGGAAACGUGGAUUAACACCCCAUAGUACUUUUAUCCUGCCUGGGAUGGGAGUUAAAUGUUCAAGGUAUCGGAUGGGCAUGCGUCCUAUUAGUUAGUUGGCGGGGUAACAGCCCACCAAGACGAUGAUAGGUAGGGGUUCUGAGAGGAAGGUCCCCCACAUUGGGACUGAGACACGGUCCAA